GCAAACUUGGUCAUUUAGAGGAAGUAAAAGUCGUAACAAGGUUUCCGUAGGUGAACCUGCGGAAGGAUCAUUAACGAAGCCAAUUUAUUUUGGCAUUAAUUCUUUCAAUUCUGUGAAUUUAAAUCUAUUGCUUUGGGUUGGUUUAAUAUAUUUUAAUAUAUUUUAGAUCGACCCAAUGUAUUUUUAAAAAAACUCUUUUUAUUUUUAAACCAAAUUGUCUGAACUGAUUUUAUUUAAAAAAAAAUUAAAUCAAAACUUUCAACAACGGAUCUCUUGGUUCUCGCAUCGAUGAAGAACGCAGC
rnacentral:misc_RNA from 1 species